rnacentral:lncRNA from 1 species
CAGUAGCCAAAUGGAACUUGAUAUAAACACUUCCAGUAUGCCAACUUUGGUUUAAUGCACAACUUUGAAAAUAACUCAUUAAAACACAUAUCAAGAUGCUACUAACAAAUUCAUUAAUAUCCAAGAUUCAUUAUGUCAAAGGUCAUCCAGGAUUAACAUUUUCAUUACAAUGAACUGUGAAAUUCCAAUGAAAAAUGUUUGCCUGAAUUAAAUUAUUUAAUCUCUCAAAUUGGAAGUCUAGCACUCUUGAAAAUCAAAUUCACACACACACACACACACACACACACACACACACACACACACUUACAAACUGCACAUUAGGACAUGAGGGCAAUUUAAUGGAAAAAGAAAAUAGAAACUGAAAGGGCAUUUGUAAAAUGUAGGAUAUCAUUUGGACAACUGGAUAGAGUAGGCAGAAAAUCCUAAAGGUGUACAUUAAAAAAUAGCCAGUAAAUGAUAGGCUACAGAAAACCACACUCAAACAUUUGAUGAAUUUCACUGCAGUAAACAGACUUGGCAAACUGAAACACUAGAACCAUGACUACAAGCCUCACUUCAUUCCACACAAAUAAAAUCUCUAACCAUUAUAAGCACAGAUGAGAAUCCUCAUGCAACAGAGGAAAUAUAAAUUAUUUUUAAUUUUAAAAAAUAAAAAAUAUAAAUUCUUGUUAAACACUUGAUUUAAAAAUAUGUAGCUUUAUUUUUAAAUGUAGUUAUGCUCAAAGAUGGCAGUUUACUUAUAUGUAAAAAUGUUUUAAAAAUAUCAAUAUAUUGGUUUAUAAGUUAUAUACUGCCCUCAGCUAAAUAUUUUUCACCAAAAUUCUCAAAUAACUAUCAAAAAGAGUUGCAUGUUUUUAUAAGCCCACUAUAAUUACUAAACGCGGUAAUUUUCAGAGCUAAAGGUGAAUCAUUAAUGAAAUAUUUUUUGAUGUGAUAAAAGUCACAUGAGCAUUUGAAUUUAAAGACAACUGAUAAGCCAACAGCAGCCUUUUUUUGGCAGGUGUUAAAUUAAUUUGCUCUAAAUUGAGCAACUGUUUGGGAACUACAAAAACUGAAAAGUUCAAACUAUAAGGAAGUAGAAAGGUGAUGAAGUUUACUAAUACAGUGUUUCACACAUUCUAUUUAACACAAUUCCAAAUGCAAAUGUUUAAGAUGAUUUUUGAAGAGAAACAUCUACAAUGUUAAGCUUGUCUAUGCUAAACAAAUGUAACUUUAAUUUACAUGUAUCAUCCUAAUGUCAACAAUAUUUAGACAUUCAUGAUUAAGCCACUGAAUUCGAAAGGAUUCUCAAUAACUACAUGUAAUCUGCAUCUGUGGCAUUAGAAAGUAAUCAAAUCACUGUCCGUUUUCUGAUGCAAUGGAACAUCCUACAAAUUCAUGACAGAUAUACUAAGCUAAAAAGCUUUGAGAUCAGGUACAGUAUAAAUUUCAUUUUUAAAGAAUAUACAUGGAUAUACAGAAGAAAACAUGAUUGUAUAGUCACUAACAUAUUAACGAUGGCUAUGUCUCCAGGUGAUAGGAUUAUGAGUGAUUAUUUUAUUGUUGUUGUGAUGGGGAAGUAGUCUCAAAAUACCUAGCUUAACAACCAGAGUACUACCACCAAAGCAAACUAUUUUGUCCUUUCCUGUCUUCACAUUACAAACUUUUUAAAGCUACCAACCAAUAUGAAUUUGUCUGACUGGCUACCCACAUUCUGAUAUACAUAUUAGAAGGAAGAUCUUUUGGAAGAUGGAAAAAUAGCAAGAUUAUGGUCAUAAAAGAAUAAUAUGCUCUCAAAAAUAAGCAACAAUCAUUAGGCUUUCUAUAGCCACAUACAAUUAAUUCUAUAAGAAAGUUGGCUCCAACAUUUCAUCUUUAAAAGACUUUUUCCAUUAUCCUGUUUCCUGGUUUUCAGGUACUGUCCUUACAACAGUUUGGACUGAAUAUUCUUGUUUCCAUUCACAAACAUUUCUUUCUGAACUAGCAACAGCACUAAUCAAUAGCUACACUUAAGCCAUUUAAGACUAAGCUUUAGAUGUGUGUCUAAUUAUCUGGCAAAAAUAAAAGAACCAAAGAGUUUCAUGUUAGCAGCAAAUUAACUAGAUUUAAGGGUCUUGAUUUUUUUCAUAAGCCUUUGGAACCCUGCAUAUUAAACACUGGUGAGUUUUAAAUUCUCAAUGGAAAUGGUGAUGGCAUUUACUGAACCAAGCCAGCUCAUAUUACAACGUACAAAGGACAUGAUAUAAAAACAAAACUAGCACAUUUCUAUUUUUCAAACAUCACCAAAAUAUCUUCUUAUAAAUUAGAAUACUUUCAGACUCCAGUAUAGUUUUCAAUCAUACGUAUACCCA